rnacentral:rRNA from 1 species
UACGUAGGGCGCAAGCGUUGUCCGGAUUUAUUGGGUUUAAAGGGUGCGUAGGCGGCUCUUUAAGUCAGUGGUGAAAGCCGACAGCUUAACUGUCGAAAUGCCAUUGAUACUGGGGAGCUUGAGUACAGUAGAGGUAGGCGGAAUUAAUGGUGUAGCGGUGAAAUGCAUAGAUACCAUUAAGAACACCGAUUGCGAAGGCAGCUUACUAUAGUGUAACUGACGCUGAGGCACGAAAGAUGUGGGGAGUCAAACAGG